GACGAACGCUGGCGGCGUGCUUAACACAUGCAAGUCGAACGAAGUGGCGAAAGGGUGAGUAACGCGUAAUCAACCUGCCCUUCAGAGGGGGACAACAGUUGGAAACGACUGCUAAUACCGCAUACUGAAGGAGGGGAUUGAGUCUGAUUAGCUAGUUGGAGGGGUAACGGCCCACGAAGGCGAGGCUCAGUAGCCUGGCGGAGAGUAUGAACCGCCACCAUGGGACUGAGACACGGCCCAGACUCCUACGGGAGGCAGCAGUGGGGAAGCUUCCGCAAUGGACGAAAGUCUGACGGAGCAACGCCGCGGGAGUGAUGACGGCCUUCGGGUUGUAAAGCUCUGUUAAUCGGGACGCGGUACCGGAAUAGAAAGCCACGGCUAACUACGUGCCAGCCGCCGCGGUAAUAC
rnacentral:rRNA from 1 species